rnacentral:lncRNA from 1 species
AUACAGCUUCAUAUCUCCUUUUUACUCAAGCUGGGGCCUGUGUUUGGUGUUGAACAAAAUAGAAUGCUGCAGUUAUCUCUCUCCUGAUUUUGUUACUACAGAAAGCUUAAUGUAAAGGUGGCUGAUACUGCUGUUUCCUUAGACACUGACACCAAAUACAAUAAAGAAGUCUCUCAAGAGGAAAACAUGGUGUGUUUACAGGAGCAACUAACAGUUGGUUUGUAGGCAUCCUAAAUGGUGGAUGGCAAGCUUGGGUUUCCCAAAGGUUUCUAGUCUUUAUAUGUCUUCUAGUAGGUGUCCAGGUUAGUAUGGCUUGUGUUACCAGAGCAACAAUGAAAAUGGCUACAUCUUUAAAUCAGGCCACUUUACAGUGAACUAUGAUCCUUAAUUGCUACCACAUUUCAAACAAGAACUAUGA